CACACACACACACACAAAACUUUUGAUGGCGAGAGUUGAGGGCUUAAAACAACCACCUUAUCAUGACUCUUCUCAUGGUCACAUGCCCGUCGCUUAUAUAACAUUAAAACAUGGCAAAAACAUGGCGAGCAUUAAUGUUAAAGGUUAUUUUUAAAUGUUCUUUACAAGUUUAACCAGCCAACAUUUCCCAUAUCAGGUUGGUGCAGGUUGUGUACGUUCACGUUUUUGUUUUUUAAAUGUUAGAAUGAUAUUGAAUUAAGUCACUAAAAUGACUUAAAGUCACUAAAAUGACUCCCUCACCCCGGUGCCUCCUGACAUCUAGUGGGAAAGUGAAACGUGCACUAAAAUGCAACCAUGAGAAAACGUUUAGGACAAAACUGAAUCAUCAAAUCGAUCACCUAAUGCUGAGCAGAAACGUUCAAGCAAGUCUGCUGGUAAGCCUGGAUAUUUCUUGCAGCUUUCGCGCAGCAUCAAACAUUGCCUUGUGAAGAUUGGCGAGAACAAAAUAUGAAGAGAGAUUAGUCUACCUCCUGAAUCUAUCGUUAUUCUCCUCUGUGUGUUGGACUUCCAUGGUCUGCAAGAACUGUAACACAUGGCCAGUUUUCAAAGCCACAUUUGAUAUUGUAUCAACAUUCUUUAUUCUGAAUGCAAUAUUAAAUUAUUGACUGCAA